rnacentral:rRNA from 1 species
UACGUAGGGGGCGAGCGUUAUCCGGAUUCACUGGGUGUAAAGGGAGCGUAGACGGCCGAUCAAGUCUGGAGUGAAAGCCCGGGGCCCAACCCCGGGACUGCUCUGGAAACUGGUGGGCUAGAGUGCUGGAGAGGUAAGUGGAAUUCCUAGUGUAGCGGUGAAAUGCGUAGAUAUUAGGAGGAACACCAGUGGCGAAGGCGGCUUACUGGACAGUGACUGACGUUGAGGCUCGAAAGCGUGGGGAGCAA